UACGUAGGGUGCGAGCGUUGUCCGGAAUUACUGGGCGUAAAGGGCGCGUAGGCGGCCUGCUAAGUCGAACGUGAAAUCCCUGGGCUCAACCCAGGAACUGCGUCCGAUACUGGUUGGCUUGAAUCCGGGAGAGGGAUGUGGAAUUCCAGGUGUAGCGGUGAAAUGCGUAGAUAUCUGGAGGAACACCGGUGGCGAAGGCGACAUCCUGGACCGGUAUUGACGCUGAGGCGCGAAAGCCAGGGGAGCAAACGGG
rnacentral:rRNA from 1 species